rnacentral:lncRNA from 1 species
GGGAAAUGCAAAUAUGCGCGUGGAGAUGUUGUGGUCAACAGUUUUAUUUUCAGCAUUUUUUUAGAUGCAGAAUGAUUAAGUAAUGAUGUGGCUCAUCAGACUUCACCUGGAUUAAACAUUGUUAUCUGUGGAACUGAUUAAUGCAUUUUGAUUGUCACACAAUAUGCAAACCUGUCAUGAAGUCAUAUUGCCUUAAGCUGGCAUGACACCUCAUUAUCAUGGCUGAGGCUGAGCUGGUGCUGAACAUGAAGGAAGAGAACAAGGGUGUGGCGCCGUGUGGUCCUAAAAACCAAAUAAAGCUAGAGGAGCAACACCAGCUGAUUGCUGCUAAGAAAGCAAUUGGUUUUUCACAACAAACUUGUGAAGGCUUCCAGCCCUUACUGACUGAGACGCAUCAACAGCUGGCGGCCUGCAACGAGCGGUUGCAGG